rnacentral:rRNA from 1 species
UACGUAGGGGGCUAGCGUUGUCCGGAAUCAUUGGGCGUAAAGCGCGUGUAGGCGGCCCGGUAAGUCCGCUGUGAAAGUCGGGGGCUCAACCCUCGGAUGCCGGUGGAUACUGUCGGGCUCGAGUACGGAAGAGGUAGCUGGAAUUCCCGGUGUAGCGGUGAAAUGCGUAGAUAUCGGGAAGGAACACCUGAGGCGAAGGCGGGCUACUGGGCCGAUACUGACGCUGAUGCGCGAAAGCCAGGGGAGCGAACGGG